GCUGGGAUGGCGGAACUGGUAUACGCGCGAGACUUAAAAUUUCGUGACCGCAAGGUCUUGUGGGUUCGAUUCCCACUCCCAGCA
rnacentral:tRNA from 1 species